UUCGGAUUGUAGGCUGAAACUCGCCUACAUGAAGCUGGAAUUGCUAGUAAUCACAGGUCAGCAUACUGUGGUGAAUACGUUCCCGGGCCUUGUACACACCGCCCGUCACACCAUGAGAGUUGAGAAUACCCGAAGCCCAUGUCAAAGUGGUCGAAGGUAGGCUUGAUGAUUGGGGUGAAGUCGUAACAAGGUAAC
rnacentral:rRNA from 1 species